AACGCGAAGAACCUUACCUGGCCUUGACAUGUCUGGAAUCCCUGAGAGAUCGGGGAGUGCCUUCGGGAACCUGAACACAGGUGCUGCAUGGCUGUCGUCAGCUCGUGUCGUGAGAUGUUGGGUUAAGUCCCGCAACGAGCGCAACCCUUGUCCUUAGUUGCCAGCGGGUAAUGCCGGGGACUCAUGGGAGACUGCCGGGGUCAACUCGGAGGAAGGUGGGGAUGACGUCAAGUCAUCAUGCCCCUUAUGUCCAGGGCUUCACGCAUGCUACAAUGGCCGGUACAAAGGGCUGCGAUACCGCAAGGUGGAGCGAAUCCCAAAAAGCCGGUCUCAGUUCGGAUCGGGGUCUGCAACUCGACCCCGUGAAGUCGGAGUCGCUAGUAAUCGCAGAUCAGCAACGCUGCGGUGAAUACGUUCCCGGGCCUUGUACACACCG
rnacentral:rRNA from 1 species